GGGAUGUGGGUUUGAUCCUCGGUCAGGAAACUAAGCUCCCACAUGUCCUGGAGCAACCAAGCCACAACUGCUGAGCCUGCGUCACAGCUGGAGAGUUCGCUUGCUGCAACAGAGGUCCCCCAUGCUGCAACUAAGACCCCAGCACCGCUUUGCCUGUUUCAAGGUCUUUUUUAUUCUCCUCUCAUCAGAGUAUGAACGCCUCUGGUUCUAUUCAGCUGCCUCCUCUUUCGGGUUCAGUUGCGUGGUUCUUCUGCUUCAUAUGAAGUCAUCUGGGGCUGCAGCUACUUUGGAUCUCAACUGGAUCAGAGCACCCAAGAUGGCAUACUUAGUGCCUCCACAAAAAGUGAUGUUGGUGAUCAGAACUCCAGCCACACCGAGAUUAUUUGGUCACGGGAAAGCAGUUCCUAUUUUCCUCUGCUGGUAGGAAGAUUUUAAUUGGCAGAUAAGCUUGUUUAGUAAUGUGCUACGCAACCGGUCUCAGUAGCUUUGAGGCAAAUUUCCAUUUCAGUUUUGUCUCUUAAAUUCUGCGGGCUUAAUUAACACUUCUGGUAUGUUCAAACAGUAUGAUGAUGAGAUGAUUUCUGUAGGAACAUGCUUGACUGGUAGUCACCUGUCUUUGUUUGGUAAACUAAAAUAAGGUAUGUCACAAUUGUUAGAAAGCAUCUGAGUUAUGUCCUUUGAUACUUUAGUUAUAUGGUCUCUCUAUAUAGUUUAUACUUAGAAUCUUUAUAGAAUUUCCCCCACUGCAAUUAUUUAGUAGCUACCGGAUGGACAGCCUCUUUAAAUUAAUAAGUGACAGAUCAGCAUAUCUCUUCUCACUGAACAGAUGAAGAAACUGAGACAGUUUCAUGACUAGCCCAAAGUAUCCUGGUGAGUCAGGGGCAGAUUUAGUAUUAAACUUUAGUUCAUGUGCUCAGGGCAAAGCACAUUGUGUAACUCUGAUGUUGAAUAUCUGGAGGCAAGGACACUCUCAUUUUAAUGUUUACUAGAACAAUAAGAUGAUAUGUAGUUAAAAAAAUUGGAGACUAUUUAAAUCAAAUUAUGUGAUUCAUCUCAGAAGCGUGACUGUAUUUGUCUACCCCAAUGGGCAGAGAAAGACUUGAGCACAGACUGAAGACUGCCUACUGUGGUGGAAAGAGUGAGGCACUACAGCUGGAAGAAGCAUAUUCCAGUGAGAGCUGUGUGACCUUGGCCAUGUCACUUGACUUCCCAAGAACCUCAGUGUCUUCGCUUGUAAAAUGUGAGGCAUCAGGGUAGAUGUUCCCUAAAGUCUAAAUUUCUGUUGCAGAUAUUCAAAGCUGUUAUGUUUGUGUUAGAAAGUAUCCUCCUUAGGUGAAUCUUAAUCCAACCAAAAAUCCCUUUCUUUUUAAGAUUUAUUUUUAAGUGCAAUUGCUAUGAGAGAGAGUUUCCUUGGCUCUGGCUUGGCAUCUGGAAUCUUCUUUCUGUCAUCAACUCUGCUGAAGAGCACAGAAGGGAAUUGGGGAGUGAAGCUUGGCUCUACGGAGGCUGAGUGUACAGAGCAAGCACAGACUUGUAAGGCCAGGCUCUCUUCACAGCCCUGCUUUCCAUUUUUCCCAGAGUUGGAGGCUAACCUCUAAACCACCUCCUGUUACCCAUGGUAACUAACUGAUGGACAGAAGGAAUCUUGGCAUGGGGAGAGUGUUUGCCAGGUUAUUUUGGUAGCAGCUCUGGUAUUCACCCUCACCGCCAUAUGCUUGGUUGGUUUGCCAUGGAAAGAGCGUCGGGGAAUUUGCUUUUUCAACUUUUUCCUCUUCUUCCAUCCUUGUGCCAAGUGAGAAGAAGAAUGUGGUGUCAACCUCAUUGUAAUACAGUGGUACCUCCCUACUUCUCCAUCUGCCCUGUGGAAGGGAGCUUGGUGACCCUCAUCAAGGGCAGAACAUGGGGGCUGGAGUCCCUUUGAAGACCUCUGCAGAGGUCCAGGCUUAUUUCUGAAUAUCAAUUCACCCAGAGGCCAGUUUCAC
ensembl:lncRNA